rnacentral:lncRNA from 1 species
AGCCAAGUCAUCUCUUCUCAGAAGUAAAGGCCAAACACCAACAAGCUACCAAUAGGAUAUUUAAAGAAAAGUCUUCAGAAUUGAACUGGAACCAUCAGCUGAUACCAUCUGCUCUCCUAGGUCUCCAGCUUUCUGGUUGCAAAUCUUGGGACUUCUCAGCCUCCAUAAUCAC